CUGGAGCUCCAGGGGUUAUAGACCACCAAUCUAUGGCGAUUGUAUAUUUCAGAAAACAAGCAACUAAAGAUCUUCCAUCUAAAUGACAUUUCAUUAAUGGAAAGAGUGGAUAUAGCACAGCCAACGGAAAAAAACCUGACCUGAAAGGUAAUUUCUUUAGAAGAGCCUGCCCCUGGUGGAAAGCCUCAGCAGUACACCUCUGGAUCUCAGCUUCAGCAUUCUUUUGCUGUGUCUCAAGUUCAAGCCCACUUGUUUGCAUCUUCAGACGUUUCAGGACCAUGAUGAAAAGUUCUUUCACCGGAGUCAAGCCCAAACCUGUAGUGCAAUAUCAAAGAACUCUGCCGUCAUCUGCAAUAAAUCUCUUCUGUUUUCAAGCAUGAGGAUGAGGGCGUCCCAAGCUUCCUUUAGGGUCAGUGCCAUAGCAUCAUAAACUUGGCUUUGGUCUUUAUUUUGUUC